CACGAGACAACCGACCCGUUCUUGUAAAACAGCUUAUAUACCGUCGUUUAGGGGAUUAAAUAAAUAACUGCUCUUAAUUGCUUAGGCUAAUAAAUCAGAUCAAGGUGUAGCUUAUGUUCGGGAGAGGGUGGGUUACAAUAAGAACUUAAACGGAACUUUCAUUUUAUCAUGGAGAAGAAGGUGGAUUUAGAAGUAAGGCCUAUCAACCUGAAGGAGGCUCUGAGAAAUGUACACAUCGCCCGUCGCUCUCUUGUCCGAAGAGAUAAGUCGUAACAAAGUAGGUAUACCGGAAGGUGUAUCUUGAAAGA
rnacentral:rRNA from 1 species